UUAUCGAGUUUUGAACGGGUUGUAGCUGGCCUCUCACGAGGCAUGUGCACGCCUGGCUCAUCCACUCUUAACCUCUGUGCACUUUAUGUAAGAGAAAAAAAUGGUGGAAGCUUCCAGGAUCUCGCGAGAGGUCUUCGGUUGAACAAGCCGUUUUUCUUUCUUAUGUUUUACUACAAACGCUUCAGUUAUAGAAUGUCAACUGUGUAUAACACAUUUAUAUACAACUUUCAGCAACGGAUCUCUUGGCUCUCGCAUCGAUGAAGAACGCAGCGAAAUGCGAUAAGUAAUGUGAAUUGCAGAAUUCAGUGAAUCAUCGAAUCUUUGAACGCACCUUGCACUCCUUGGUAUUCCGAGGAGUAUGCCUGUUUGAGUCUCAUGGUACUCUCAACCCCUAAAUUUUUGUAAUGAAGGUUUAGCGGGCUUGGACUUGGAGGUUGUGUCGGCCCUUGUCGGUCGACUCCUCUGAAAUGCAUUAGCGUGAAUCUUACGGAUCGCCUUCAGUGUGAUAAUUAUCUGCGCUGUGGUGUUGAAGUAUUUAUGGUGUUCAUGCUUCGAACCGUCUCCUUGCCGAGACAAUCAUUUGACAAUCUGAGCUCAAAUCAGGUAGGACUACCCGCUGAACUUAAGCAUAUCAAUAAGCGGAGGAAAAGAAACUAACAAGGAUUCCCCUAGUAACUGCGAGUGAAGCGGGAAAAGCUCAAUUUAAAAUCUGGCGGCUUUGGUCGUCCGAGUUGUAUUCUAGAGAAGUGUUUUCCGCGUUGGACCG
rnacentral:rRNA from 1 species